CAGGCCAUGGGUCUGGAGUGCCUCCCCUGGACGUCGUGUGCCCAGGGGUGGAGCCUGCUAGGAAGUCCAGGUGGAGAGCAGGGGGCGCCUGGCAUGGGGUGAGGAGGCCCAGGGCGUGGAUGUGGGGACACCAGCGCCCACAGGGGAGUCACCUCGCAAGCCGCUCUGCUGCUGGAGAGGAAAGGACAGCCCUGUAACCAGGCCAGGCCCCGGGUCCACCCAGGGCCACCGGAGCACACUCACGGGGAGGCUCGUGGGCAGAUGUACCCAUCAGUGGCCUCCAGGUCCGCUGAGGGUAGAGUGCCCAAGGCCAGCUGCCCCGGUGGCUGAGCAGGGUGCGUCUUUCCUCAGAUGCCAUCAGCCACCGGGAGGGACAGCACCAGGCAGCCACUCUGGAAGGACCCAUGUGUCCCCGUGAGGUGCAGGGCCUGGUCAGCUGGGCCUGGAGGGAGGAGAGAGAGCCCGGCGAGCCCUGGGGCCCAGGUCCUGUCCGGGUGGCGAGGUGCUCUGGAGGAGAGGCAGGAAUGGUCGCGCACAGCUGUGAGUCCACUGAAGCCACCAAACCCGGCACGAAGACGGUGGAACUCAGCCACACAGUGCCACGCCUGUAUCCUCGACCUCAGGAGGCUGAGGCAGGAGGACUGCAAGUUCAAAGCCAGCCUCGAGAAGACCCUGUCUCAAAUAAAAAGGUAAAGGAUGUGGCCCAGUGGUAAAGCACCGAGGUUCAAUCCCCAGCGACUUUCCACCCUCCCAGGAGUUCUGGGUCAUCUAGAGGACGGGGCCUCCGCAGCGGGCGUCUGUAAACCCCACGCCCCUCACGUCCACCAGGGACUUGGGCGUCUGCAGCUCCUGGUACCUGGGAGGCCUGGAACCUGCCCCCUUCAGACACGGAGCGGCCACUGCAAUAUUGAUGUGCUUUAAGCUCAUCAGGCUUUGAAGCCAGCAAUUUGACCCCCUCCUCAAGAUCUUACUGCUGAGGGUCACUUUGGGGGCUCUGGGCUGACCAGAGAGGGCACUGGUGUAAAAAACAAAACAAAACAAAACAGCCUUUCACGGUUGCAGGAAAUCUGACACGGCCACCUUUUUGCUUCUCUCCAGAUGUCUCCGUGCCACCCAAUCCUGCCUGCAAGGCCAUCUCUUUGUGGACACUCUCAGUUUCAUUGUAUAGUCUUUUAAUGAAAAGGAACGGGAAGGUACUGUUGGGCAGGUUG
rnacentral:lncRNA from 1 species